rnacentral:rRNA from 1 species
UAGGGAAUCUUCGGCAAUGGACGAAAGUCUGACCGAGCAACGCCGCGUGAGUGAAGAAGGUUUUCGGAUCGUAAAACUCUGUUGGUAGAGAAGAACGUUGGUGAGAGUGGAAAGCUCAUCAAGUGACGGUAACUACCCAGAAAGGGACGGCUAACUACGUGCCAGCAGCCGCGGUAAUACGUAGGUCCCGAGCGUUGUCCGGAUUUAUUGGGCGUAAAGCGAGCGCAGGUGGUUUAUUAAGUCUGGUGUAAAAGGCAGUGGCUCAACCAUUGUAUGCAUUGGAAACUGGUAGACUUGAGUGCAGGAGAGGAGAGUGGAAUUCCAUGUGUAGCGGUGAAAUGCGUAGAUAUAUGGAGGAACACCGGUGGCGAAAGCGGCUCUCUGGCCUGUAACUGACACUGAGGCUCGAAAGCGUGGGGAGCAAACAGGAUUAGAUAGCCCUGGUAGUCCACCGGCGUA